rnacentral:rRNA from 1 species
AGAUUGAACGCUGGCGGCAGGCCUAACACAUGCAAGUCGAGCGGUAGAGAGGUGCUUGCACCUCUUGAGAGCGGCGGACGGGUGAGUAAUGCCUAGGAAUCUGCCUAGUGGUGGGGGAUAACGUUCGGAAACGGACGCUAAUACCGCAUACGUCCUACGGGAGAAAGCGGGGGACCUUCGGGCCUCGCGCCAUUAGAUGAGCCUAGGUCGGAUUAGCUAGUUGGUGAGGUAAUGGCUCACCAAGGCGACGAUCCGUAACUGGUCUGAGAGGAUGAUCAGUCACACUGGAACUGAGGUCACGGUCCGAGACU